AUUGAACGCUGGCGGCAGGCCUAACACAUGCAAGUCGAGCGGAUGAAGGGAGCUUGCUCCUGGAUUCAGCGGCGGACGGGUGAGUAAUGCCUAGGAAUCUGCCUGGUAGUGGGGGAUAACGUCCGGAAACGGGCGCUAAUACCGCAUACGUCCUGAGGGAGAAAGUGGGGGAUCUUCGGACCUCACGCUAUCAGAUGAGCCUAGGUCGGAUUAGCUAGUUGGUGGGGUAAAGGCCUACCAAGGCGACGAUCCGUAACUGGUCUGAGAGGAUGAUCAGUCACACUGGAACUGAGACACGGUCCAGACUCCUACGGGAGGCAGCAGUGGGGAAUAUUGGACAAUGGGCGAAAGCCUGAUCCAGCCAUGCCGCGUGUGUGAAGAAGGUCCUCGGAUUGUAAAGCACUUUAAGUUGGGAGGAAGGGCAGUAAGUUAAUACCUUGCUGUCUUGACGUUACCAACAGAAUAAGCACCGGCUAACUUCGUG
rnacentral:rRNA from 1 species